UCAGUUGGCCGGGCGAUCGCAGUCCUCUCUCGAGGGGAUUGAGGAAAGUCCGCGCUCCACAUAGCAGGGUGCCGGGUAACUCCCGGGCGGGGUGACCCGCGGACAGGGCCACAGAAAACGACCGCCAGCCGGACUAUCGGUUUCGGCUGGUAAGGGUGAAACGGCGGUGUAAGAGACCACCGGGGCCGGCAGCAAUGCCGGUCGCCAGGCAACCCUCGCCUGGAGCAAGGCCGAGCAGGCGCAAAGCUCGCGUCAUACGCAUUCGUGAGGAUGCGGCGGGCGGGAGGCGGCUCGCUUCCCUGGAGCGCCGGGUAGGCCGCACGAACGGCACGGUGACGUGCCGUCCAGAUAGAUGAUCGCCCAAACCCGGGGAGGAACGCUAGGCCUGCCCUGCGGUGAAAGCCGUCAGGGACUGACCUCGCUGUAAACCCGGGUCGGACAGAACGCGGCUUAUAGGCCGACUGCCGUC
rnacentral:RNase_P_RNA from 1 species